UCUUUGAACAAAGAGUUAGAUAAUCAAAAUCAACGAGCCUACAUAACAUUUACCUUAAAAAAAGUAAUAUGCCCUAAAGUCAUAUUGAACAUACCAAUCCCCAUUUUCUUAAAAGUAAAGUACUUAGGUGUCAUACUAGACAGAAAACUAACCGGGAAUCCUCAACUAAAAGACAAACUUAUACCUAUUAAUGCCCGCCUUCAUCUACUAAGGUGAUCU